rnacentral:lncRNA from 1 species
GGUUGACUUGGUGACCGUGGAGGAUGCCUGGGUUACUGAGCCGCCUGGGGCUCUGGGCCGACUGCUCUUCCCCUGCAACACGGCACACGCCUCCAAGGGAGGGUUCAGUCUCAGUCCCAUUCUGCAGCUGAGGAAACUGAGGCUGGUUAAGAGGAUGUGUUUGCCUGUGGUCACCAGGCAGGGAGCGGUGGGGGUGGGGUGUGGACCGAGGCUGGCUGGAGCUGGAGCAGUGUCCUCAGCCACUGGCCGGGAAGGCUUUGUUAGACUAAGCGUGGCCUGAGGAUGCCUCAGUGCCAAGUCACACCAUGACCUGGACCUGCCUUAGUCCGUGAAUCAAUGGGUAACCUCACUGGGAGGAGCUGGUCUCAGUCAUUCGCGGCAGCCCUCUGCGGUCACCCGCAGGCGCCCAUGACUCCGAUGAAGCCACGCCAAACACCACCCAACCACGUGGCCUCGGCACCCGCCUCCUGUCUCUGCCUGUGAACACCGCCAGCCAAGCCGAGGCCAGGGCUCUCGGAACACGCUGGCUCUGAGGCCCAUCCUAUUCGGGGUUGUUCUCUGCUCAGUUAAACUCUGUUCAAUACAGCGUGUCUAAGGUUUUUCCCUUUUGACAGGCUCCAGGACUGAAGCCGCAGAGGCCACUCCCACAGGUCACCAGAAACUAAGACGUGAGUGACGCCCGGCAGUGGCCGACUCUUCCGCCGUGGCUGUGCCCAUGGGAGACGUGAGUGACGCCCGGCAGUGGCCGACUCUUCUGCGGUGGCUGCGCCCACGGGAGACGUGAGUGACCCCGGCAGUGGCCGACUUCCACGGUGGCUGCGCCCACGGGAGACGUGAGUGAUGCCCGGCAGUGGCCAACUCUUCUGCGGUGGCUGUGCCCACGGGAGACGUGAGUGACGCCCGGCAGUGGCUUACUCUUUCGUGGUAGCUGCGCCCACGACUUCUGGAGACAUCAGAGGCUUCCAGGCCCCACUGUUUUCUGCAUUUGGCCACUGCCCACGCUUCUGGGGCUGAGGUCUCCCUCUUGGGGCCCUUUUCAGCCCCUAAAGAUCUCCUAGCCUCCGAACCUGAAAUGGCUCCCCCAAAUUGCAGAGGAGGUGGGGAAGUGGCAGCCACAGCUCAGUCACCAGCCUGCUCUGCCGCCUGUGAAGCUGCAGCUGGCAGCAACACCCCAACCAAAAUAGUGGCUGAGACGUGCCCGACAGCUGGCGUUUAUUUCUGUAUUAGCAGAAUCGGGUGGGAGUCAGCACCUGCCUGACCCGGCUGCAGCAUGCCAGACGCCGUCACCUGCUGCCUGGGCCCUGGAACCCUCCGCAAGGUGGGGGCUGGGAGAUGGCCUUGUGUAGGGCAAGGCCUCUGCUGACCCUGCUGCUGGGCCCCCACCGGGCCCUGGGCCUCUGUCUCAGCAUGGCAGACUGGAGGCCUCCCUGCAGCCUGUCCUGGGGGGGCUCCUGGGGUGGGGCUGGGCCUGACCAUCUCUGGGUUCUCAGCACAGAGGCCGUCAAAACGUCAGGCAGGCUGGGCUGUGAGACUGUGGGUGCAUUAUGUGUGCUCUCAGGCCUCAGUCUCCUCAUCUGUGGUAUGGGGGUGCUGACGCCACCCCACUGACGGGCUCAGAAACGAGUGAAGGAUAAAAUGCACCGAGACUCCGUGCCCACCUCUCUGUUAUCCACACCAGCCUGGCCUCACGCAGAGACUCUGUGCCCCUCUCCUGCUCUAGAUACCAGCCAGGCCUCACGGCAGCCCUUGCUGGGCCCUGCAUUAACUCCCCCAGGCCUUGGACUCUGAGAGUUGGGACUCUCGUCUGGCCCAGGUGACAGAGGAGGAAACUGAGAAGCAGAGAGCCACGUGACUCACCUGUGGGUGGACUGUGGGAAUCGCCAAGCUCGGAUGAGAACCACGUGGGCAGUUCCAGGCCCGAGGCCGCCCACCCCGGGGGGAGAGGCUCCCCGGAGCAUCUGAGUCUGCAGCCCACUGGGGUGUCCGCCCGUGCAGCCACCAAGCCUGCUGGCCCUAGUACACCUCGCCACGCUCCCUCAGCCCGAGAGAGCCGGCCGGGCUGGCUGCAGCCCCAGAGGAGGUUCCCUCUCUUACCCAGAGGGGAGCAGGGUGAGCCGCGUGUCCACGGCACCCCCAGCCCAGAUCCCCGGAGCCCACAGCCUUGGCCUUGAUGGAGCGUGGACCUAGGACGUGGACACCCACGUUCUGUGGCUGCUCAAGUGAUCCUCCAGCCUUGGUGAGGACGGCCUCAAGACCCACGUGUGCGGGUAAAGACUCCGCAGCAUGCGGCCGAAGGACGGCCCGGUGUACGGGAUCCGUAUGCAGACCCUGCCUUUGACGCCUGUGUGUACCCGCGGCGCCCGCCGCCUCGUCCUUGGCUCCAGGCUGGCACUGCUGGGCCGCAAGCCGGGCUCCUCGGGUGCCUUCCCCAAAGUCUUCCCAGAGCUGCCGCGGGAGGGCGGACAGGCGUGCUGGACCCUGAGCAUGCUGGACCAGGGCCCAGCAGCAGGCCACUUGGGAGAGCCAGCGGUUCUAAGCAUUUGUAAAUAAAUCCAAUUCCCCAACUUUCUCAUGCGUUUCAAAGCUGCCACGCCGCCUUCUCCUGCCAGCGCCUCCCCAUUCCCCACGAGUGCAUCCACCAGGCCCUCGAGCAGUGCCGGCUGCCGGCCUGUUUUUCUCUUUGGAUGGCUGAACAGGGGCCAACCGGCCAUCUGUUGAGGACAUCAGGAGCAUGAGCUGGGAAACGAGGUCCCGGGAGGUCUGAGGAGCCAAACAUCCUCCCUCCCUCAUCAGCCCCUCCCCAGGGGCCUCCUCUUGGUCAGUUCGGGAACCGGCUGGUCGCUGUUAGGGCGGGGAGAACAUCUGGAUCCCUGGCUGGCUGGGGCCAGCUGAGGCCAGCUGGGAGCCGGGGCGGUGGGUGGGGCUGCAUCCCCCAGC